CUUGGCAGUGAGCAAUCAGCUCUCGGGGCAGCUGGACACCUGGGCGUCGACUGCCAAGCUAAAGUUAGAUUUCUCAGAUUGCAACAGAAGCUAGCGCCCUUUUUGUUGUUGCCAGGCACAUGUAGAGCAUCGCCAGCUGUACGACACGCUUACACAUAUAAUAUGAACAAGUACCCUUUGUUUUGCGAGUGAAACGAAACGAUUAACAGAGAGAUUUCGUUAUACAACAGCCGCGUUGGGGCACAUGGACGGACGCGCAUAUCGCUAUUUGGAAAUAACUGGUUCUGUACCGGCCUAGACUGACAUUCUCCGCCUGAAGUUGACGAAGUCCGCCACUAUAAUAACUAUGAUGUAGUACUAAUACGAUUACUGCAUUGCAUUGGCGGCAAACCGGGAAUCGUUACGCAUUUGCAAGUGGUUCGGGCAGGGGGCAGCUGGUCAAUGGGGUCUCUUUGAGUUUUGUAAGAAUUCAACUCACCAUUUUUAUGCCAGAGCCACACCACAACACAUUAUCCAAAUCGGAACCGAGUGAAUCUAGUUAAUUGUGCUCCUAGAUCGAGUGAACGCGAAAUUCACCAGAUUUUCAAGCAGUCGCGUUUAACGUUAAGCAGAUUGGCUCCUGCAGGGCCUUUUUGGACUGUGUGGAACAGCGAUUUAAACGCCCAGCCACACCGCAAAGAACUAAAAGUAAAAAUUUGUGCUUUGCACCAUUUAUAGAGCGCUCGAUGGCGCUCUUCGCUCGCCAUUUGCUAGCUGAUAAGGAUACAGCUUGCAGAGCACAGCACCAGAGGCGAGCGGAGCAAUCGCUCUGAUAUGCUCAGUGUGUUGCACAAUGUGAGCAAAUCACUUACAAAAUGCUCUCAUUUGAAUCAUGCUCUCUUGAGGAGUGCCUAUAUCUCUGCCUCUCUGAUUCUCUCACUAGUAGUGUGACUAUCAAACAUUUCAAGUACCUUCAGUUCAAACAGGUGCUGUAAAAGCCAAAGCUAAGUUAUUUGCAAUAGAAUUCAAAUAUCUGAAUAUUAUUAUAUAUUUAUAAAAAGGAAAGCUUUACAAAUCUAUUGCCUAUCAUAUAUUGUACUAUAUAAUAUUUCCUUUUCAAAAAAUUGAAAACUGUUUAAUAUGCUCAAAACAAUACUAUAUAUAAACGAUAUUUUAUAAAUCAAAUUUUAUUAAAAUUUUUUUUUUCUGUACAUAAAAUAUAUUCUGGACUUUAGUGUAUUCUAAAUGUAUACUCAUUAAAUACUCUUUAAAUA